rnacentral:tRNA from 1 species
GAUGAGAUGCCUGAAAAAAGGUUUAUUUUGAUAGAAUAACUAAUGUGAAUUCCACUCUUAUUA